rnacentral:misc_RNA from 1 species
UCGUAACAAGGUUUCCGUAGGUGAACCUGCGGAAGGAUCAUUACCGAGUGCGGGCUGCCUCCGGGCGCCCAACCUCCCACCCGUGACUACCUAACACUGUUGCUUCGGCGGGGAGCCCCCCAGGGGGCGAGCCGCCGGGGACCACUGAACUUCAUGCCUGAGAGUGAUGCAGUCUGAGCCUGAAUACAAAUCAGUCAAAACUUUCAACAAUGGAUCUCUUGGUUCCGGCAUCGAUGAAGAACGCAGCGAACUGCGAUAAGUAAUGUGAAUUGCAGAAUUCAGUGAAUCAUCGAGUCUUUGAACGCACAUUGCGCCCCCUGGCAUUCCGGGGGGCAUGCCUGUCCGAGCGUCAUUGCUGCCCUCAAGCCCGGCUUGUGUGUUGGGUCGUCGUCCCCCCCCGGGGGACGGGCCCGAAAGGCAGCGGCGGCACCGUGUCCGGUCCUCGAGCGUAUGGGGCUUUGUCACCCGCUCGAUUAGGGCCGGCCGGGCGCCAGCCGGCGUCUCCAACCUUAUUUUUCUCAGGUUGACCUCGGAUCAGGUAGGGAUACCCGCUGAACUUAAGCAUAUCA